rnacentral:pre_miRNA from 1 species
AGAGGGAUAGCUGGGUCAAACGGUUCCAUUCCAAGUUUUCUAAGGAAUUUCCAUAUUCCUUUCCAGAUUGGCUUCACCAAUUUGCAGUCCCACCAGCAAU